UACGUAGGGUGCAAGCGUUGUCCGGAAUUAUUGGGCGUAAAGAGCUCGUAGGCGGUCUGUCGCGUCGGCUGUGAAAACCCGGAGCUCAACUCCGGGCCUGCAGUCGAUACGGGCAAACUGGAGUGUUGCAGGGGAGACUGGAAUUCCUGGUGUAGCGGUGAAAUGCGCAGAUAUCAGGAGGAACACCGGUGGCGAAGGCGGGUCUCUGGGCAACAACUGACGCUGAGGAGCGAAAGCCAGGGGAGCAAACGGG
rnacentral:rRNA from 1 species